CUAAUGUGUCAAAACCCAUAUACAAAAUCUUCGCACUAAAGCUAAACACUUUUUUCACAAGUCAGAGGGUUUAAACACUUGAGCAAAAGCAAGUGAAGAUUAGAUGUAAGAAGACUUCCUGUUCUUGGUGGCGUAGUUGAAAUGAAGCUUCCUGUCACCAAGUGUUAAGGUAAAGGCAGGCGUGUGACUUUGACUUGCUUGACUUGAAACCAGAGGCGAGGUUUAGGGUUCGGGGAACAAGACGAGGAAGCUGCGACCACUGAUAAGACAGAAAACGACUAUACUGUAUGGUGUGUGGCCGUACACACCCUGACUCCUGGAUAUGGCAGGUCUCUGUGGUCUCAAGAUCCUGCUGCUCUGUGCUGGUAUCAUCGGUUUGGCCAACUGCCAACCUAACGACCACAAGGAAAACCAGCAGACCAAGCAACAGCUACAAUAAACAA